rnacentral:rRNA from 1 species
CACGCCGUAAACGUUGAGAACUAAGUGUUGGGGAGACCCAGUGCUGAAGCUAACGCAUUAAGUUCUCCGCCUGAGGAGUACGCACGCAAGUGUAAAACUUAAAGGAAUUGACGGGGGCCCGCACAAGCGGUGGAGCAUGUGGUUUAAUUCGAAGCAACGCGAAGAACCUUACCAGGCCUUGACAUCCCCUGACCGUCAUGGAAACAUGGCUUCUCUUCGGAGCAGGGAGACAGGUGG